rnacentral:lncRNA from 1 species
UGCUUAUGUUUUUAUCUAUAGGACUAGAUCCCUAACAGCAUCUGAUCCUCCUUAAGGAAUUGGAAUAAGGGAGAUUUUUCCCUGUUGUGACAUAGCAUUGUUAUAACCAUGUCCCUCAUCUUCUUUUCAUAGGAAAUUGUUAUCAUCAAGAAAGACAAGUGGUAGAUGUCAGGAGACUAACAAACAUUCAUGGGUCCUGGAAGGGGUGAGGAGAAUGAGAAGUGGGGAGAAGAAUGACACUGAAGCUGGCAGCCAUCAGAGGAACCACUACAAGUGAUUUGGAACCAGAGAAACAAAACCU